rnacentral:rRNA from 1 species
GAAUUGACGGGGGCCCGCACAAGCGGUGGAGCAUGUGGUUUAAUUCGAUGCAACGCGAAGAACCUUACCUGGUCUUGACAUCCACGGAAGAAUUCAGAGAUGGAUUUGUGCCUUCGGGAACCGUGAGACAGGUGCUGCAUGGCUGUCGUCAGCUCGUGUUGUGAAAUGUUGGGUUAAGUCCCGCAACGAGCGCAACCCUUAUCCUUUGUUGCCAGCGGUCCGGCCGGGAACUCAAAGGAGACUGCCAGUGAUAAACUGGAGGAAGGUGGGGAUGACGUCAAGUCAUCAUGGCCCUUACGACCAGGGCUACACACGUGCUACAAUGGCGCAUACAAAGAGAAGCGACCUCGCGAGAGCAAGCGGACCUCAUAAAGUGCGUCGUAGUCCGGAUUGGAGUCUGCAACUCGACUCCAUGAAGUCGGAAUCGC